AAUGCUCAUUUUGCAGCCUCAGAUAUCCUAAAUAUAGUAAACUCUUUGAAACUUUCUGCUCACGACCAGUGGGGACUUACAUACUACAUUUAUGAGAUGUGGGUUUAAUUAUUGGGGUUUUUACUGAGGAAGAUAAUGAGAAACGGAAUUUUACUGAGCAGGUUAUUUUGUGCGUUAUUUUUCCAGGAUUUAUUCUUGAUUACCGUGGAACUAAAGAACUUUUUAAUAUUGGGAAAUGACUUUUUCAUAGUUUUGGAUUUGAAAUAAUUUUCUUCUGUUCUUUGUUGAGAUGAAAGGAAGCCAAUUAUUAUUGGAAUCUUGGGUUCAGAAACGUAUUAUUGCUACUGUUCUUCAAGGAGUCAACCUAUCCCAUGGGAUUCCCAUGUGGAGGAGUUUCAAAGAACAUAGAACAUGAAUGACAAAUUUUAAGAGUCCCAGACAGAAGGUGGGAAGAAAGCUCAGGACAAACAAGCAGGGAAAAGGACCAAUCUUCCCACGACUGCUGGCAAGCACCAAGAUUCCAUAGUUGCACUGAGCAGUCUCACCUGGGAUCCCUGCCCACUGCCCACAGGCCCUGGGAAUCAUUUAAGCGCUGGACUGCUCCACCUUCCCUUCUGGAGACGUGGUGAAGAGAAGCUUCCAUAAGCUGUUGAAAAUACAGGAAGAAUAGGAGUGAAUGAUUACUUCUGGUUUUCCACUAAUUCCCUGCUAACAAAGAUAUUCUUCAGAGUCUCAGAUCUUCUGAUACUUCAGUGUGCAGAACCUUGUAUUGGGUGACAAGGUUUGGUAACAGAGGGCCACAGGGUUGGCUCCUGUGAGAAGCUGCCAGAAGCUCUCCGAAUGUCUGAUGGAACCAGCACCAGCUGAUGCCAAGAUGGACUUGCCACUGGCCAAAGCUGAACUCAUCAGUGAUAGUGGUAGCACCUCUAGGAUAACACAGUUAAGGAGAAAAGGAAAUAAAAAAUGUGGCUGUAGCCAAAAAAAGGAGCAAGAAUACAUGCCAGGAACAGCCCUGCAGAUAUAUGGCUAUAUAAUGGCAAUGGAAUACUUAGUAUUCUGAUAAUUACCAGCACCAAGCAUUUGCAGCAA